GCUUUGUUUACCCAAGCAAGCCUGGGCAAUGGCGGGCGCCCCUCCCCCAGCCUUGCUGCGGCCUUGCAGUUUGAUCUCAGACUGCUGUGCUAGCAAUCAGCGAGACUCCGUGGGCGUAGGACCCUCCUAGCCAGGUGCAAGAUAUAAUCUCGCGGUGCGCCGUUUUUUAAGCCGGUCCGAAAGCGCAAUAUUCGGGUGGGAGAGACCCGAUUUUCCAGUGAGAUGAACCCAGUACCUCAGAUGGAAAUGCAGAAAUCACCCGUCUUCUGCGUCGCUCACGCUGGGAGCUGUAGACCGGAGCUGUUGCUAUUCGGCCAUCUUGGCUCCUCUCCUGCACUGCAAGAAUGGACUAAUACGCUAUGUGAAGACAAAGGGGAUGUCUGCAAGCCAGGACGAGUGCGUCUACCAGAAACUGAGUUCUGCUGGACUUUGAUCUAGGACAUCCAGCCUCCAGAAUGGAAUGUGCCAUAUGUGGAGACCUGCAUGGAAAGGAACUGAGGAUGCUCUCUCACUAAAAGCUAGAAGGAACUGAGGCCCUCAGUCAACAGUCUACAAGACACUGAAUCUUGCCAGCAGCCAAGCAGUGAGCUUGAAAGCAGAUCUAUCAUCAGCUGAACCUUCAGAUGAGACCGCAGCCUAAGCAGAUACCUUGGUUGCAGCCAUGUGAGACAACCUGAAACAGAGGGCACAGCUAAGCCUCAGCCAGGUUCAUGACCCUCUGAGGAAACUGUGAGAAAGCAAAUGUCAUUUUAAGCUAUUUAAUUUUGGAGGUAGUUUAUUACACAACAAUAAAUAACUAUUAUAAUUAUCUUGAGGAUUUAUUUCCUGGGGAGAAUACAUGGAAUUGCAUAUAUAGGUCCUCAUAUGCAGAAUACUGGUACCCUAGAGAUGUUCACCCCAGAGAUGUUUUAGGAACCUGUGAAUAUGUUACAUUAAAUGGCAAAGUUUUCCUGGAUGGUUUAAGUUUAAGAUGGAAAAGUUUUACUGGAUUAUCCAGUGGGUCCAAUCUAGUAACAUGAGUCCUUAAAAAUGGAGAAUAUUUUUUGGCCAUGAUCAGAGAGACAUGUGAUGAUGGAAAAAGUGUCAGAGAUGCAAUGUGAGGGGACUAAAACUGCUGUUGCUGACUUUAAAGAUGGAGAGAGGGGAACCCGAGUCAAGGAAUGCAAAUGGCCUCUGGAAGCUGGAAAAAGCAAGAAAUGGAUUCUCCUUUAGAGCCUGUGGAAUAAAAUGCAGUCAUGCUGACACCUUGAUUUUACCUCAGUGAGACCAAUACUGGAGUAUGACCUUCGGAGCUGAAUAAAAUUAUACGUACACAUCUUAAUUUCUUGGGAUUUGAUUACUUCUUCUGCUUUGAAAUUAGACCAAGUUUAGCCUGCCUUUGCUAUUUUGGCGUAUCUCCAAUUCUUCAUGAUUUUCUCAUUGUUGCCUCCAUAUGAUGCAAAAUAUCCAACCUAGCCCUGACAUGAAAACUUAAUUGAAAGUAUCCAACAGUGGCGCAAAGGCCACAUAAGGACAGUGAGAAGGCAGCCACCUGCAAGCCAGGAAGAAAGGUCUCACCAGAUACCAACCCUGCCAGCAUGUUGAUCUUGGACUUCCAGCCUCCAAAACUGGCCUUCUGCUCACAUGGGCUUCCGUGCACCUGCUUCAGGAGACAGCAACACUUGCGCCCGCACCGCGGCAGGCUCCCAUCACCUGGUGGAUAUGCCGCGCCGAGUCUCAUCACACCUUAGUGAAGGAACACAUGGACCCAUAUGUUAGCGGAUGUAUUUACAUCGUUUUAUACAGAAAGGGGAAGAAAACUGCAUACCUCAGAAAGGGGUUGCUCCUCACUCUGAGUACUAGACUAAAGAUAAAAAGACUAGAUAAAAGUACUAGACUAAAGACAGAGCUGACCCAUGACAGAUGGAGUCUUGCUCUGUCACACAUGCUAGAGUCCAGUGGUAUGACCUCAGCUCACUGCAAUCUCUGCCUCCCGGGUUCAAAUGAUUCUUCUGCCUUGACCUCCCUGGCAGCUGGGACUACAGGCCUGCACCACCACGCCUGGCAAAUUUUUUAAUUUUUUUUAGUAGAGAUGGGGUUUCACCAUGUUGGCCAGGCUAGUCUCGAACUCCUGACCUCAAAUGAUCUGCCCGCUUUGGCCUUCCAAAGUUCUGGGAUUAUAGGAGUGAGCCACCAUGCCCAGCCUGUUCUUAAGUCUCCUAGAACAGGGAUUCUGAAACACAAAACUCAUCUGGUGAGAAGAAUGAGAGCAAGAGAGGUUAAAUGGGUCGUUCAAGUUCAUAAAGUACUGACAGAAGAUGACCCUGAACUGUUCUCACUAUAUUAAAAGUCAGACAAGUAUUAUUAUUAUUAUUACUAAUAUAAGUAGCUCCAAUUUAUGUGAUUCUCAUGAUUUGGAGGACCUUACCUAUAUUAGCUUAUUUAAUCUACACAGCAAACCUAGAUGGUAAAUAUUUUCAUUGCCAUUUUACAGAGGAGGAACUGAGGUUCCUGAGGGUUAGGAAACUUGUAACAUGAACUCCAUACAGAUAUACAGAAUGAUAUAAACAAAUAAACAAAUACAUAAAUGUGGAAGAAGUAAAAGCUCUUCCUUGGAGUAAAAGGCCACCUAAUAAAUGAGGCAGGAAUGAUAAAAUUAGAGAAAUCAUUUGCAAACAUCACAGUAUUAAUUGCUUAAAGGAAGAAUUAUAAAUAGAUAAUAAAGCUAGUGGGUGAAACAUUAAUGGGACUAAGAUAUUUAUCUAGCCCCAAAAGUUUUGCUCCAUAAAAAUACUUACUUAGGCUGGGCAUGGUGGUGCACACCUGUAAUUCUAGCACUUUGGGAGGCCGAGGUGGAAGGAUUACUUGAGCUUAAGAGUUCAAUGGCAGCCUGGACAACAUAGUGAGACCGCAUCUCUAAAAAAAAAAUUAGCCAGGUGUGGUAGUGCGUGUAUGUAUUCUCAGCUACUCAGGAGGCUGAGGUAGAAGGGAUCGCUUGAGCCCCAAGUUGAGGCCACAGUGAGCUGAGAUUGCACCACUGCACUCCAGCCUGGGUUACAGAGAGUGAUCCUGUCUCAACAAUAAAAUAAAAUAAAAUGAAAAAAAUAUUUAUUACAAAUGAAAAAAAUGACAUGUUUACACUGGAGAGGCCUACAGGCAUCAUCUUAACCAAUGAUCAAAGUUAAUAUCUACACGAAUAGGACAAAUAAUAUCAUUUCCCUCCUGACCUCAUGCAUGUUUAAAACACAACAUAACUUCUUGGUUAUUUCUGUCAAGAGUGCAUAACCUGAAACUAAUCAUAAGAAACCACCAGAUGACCCCACGAUGAGAGGUAUACUAAAAAAUAACUAAGCUAUUAUUUUAUUUUAUUUAUUUUUUGAGACAGAGUCUUGCUCUGUUGCCCAGGCUGGAGUGCAGUGGCGCAAUCUCAGCUCACUGCAACCUCAGCCUCCUGGGUUCAAGAGAUUCUCCUGCCUCAGCCUCCCAAGUAGCUGGGAUUACAGGCUUCUUUUUGUAUUUUUAGUAGAGAGGGGGUUUCACCAUGUUGGCCAGGCUGGUCUCAAACUCCUGACCUCAGGUGGUCCACCCACCUCGGCCUCCCAGUUUUGGGAUUAUAUGCGUGAGCCACUGCACUCAGCCACCAGACUUUUUUUUUUUUCUUUUUACUUUUUUUGAGACAGCAUCUCCCUCUGUCGCCCAGGCUGGAGUGCAAUGGCACAAUCUUGGCUCACUGCGACCUCCGCCUCCCAGGUUCAAGUGAUUCUCCUGUCUCAGCCUCCUGAGUAGCUGGAACUACAGGCGCCCGCCACCACGCCCGGCCAGUUUUUGUGUUUUUAGUGGAUAUGGGGGUUUCACCAUGUCGGUCAGGCUGGUCUCGAACUCCUCACCUCAGGUGAUCUGCCCGACUCAGCCUCCCAAAGUGCUGGGAUUAUAGAUGUGAGCCAUCGUGCCUGGCCUAUUUUGAAAGCAACAUAUAAUCCAACUUUUUCUUUUGUUAUAAAGAGCAAUAUAGGAACAAGGAGUGAAACACCAAGGCAAUUUGACAGUUAAAUGGUAGAAGUAGAUCAGUGUUAAUUUCCUGAUUUUGUAAUUAUACUGUGGUUAUGUAACAGAAUGUUCUUGUUUUAGAAAGUACACAUUGAAUAAUCAAUGGUCAUCUUGUCUGUAACUUAAUUUCAAAUGUUUCAAUAAAAAUAUGUGUAUGUUUGUGAGUGAUAAAACAAAU
rnacentral:lncRNA from 10 species